rnacentral:rRNA from 1 species
UGGGGGGUGGGGCGUGCUUACCAUGCAGUCGAACGAUGAACCGCUUCGGUGGUGGAUUAGUGGCGAACGGGUGAGUAACACGUGGGCAAUCUGCCCUUCACUCUGGGACAAGCCCUGGAAACGGGGUCUAAUACCGGAUAACACUCUGUCCCGCAUGGGACGGGGUUGAAAGCUCCGGCGGUGAAGGAUGAGCCCGCGGCCUAUCAGCUUGUUGGUGGGGUAAUGGCCUACCAAGGCGACGACGGGUAGCCGGCCUGAGAGGGCGACCGGCCACACUGGGACUGAGACACGGCCCAGACUCCUACGGGAGGCAGCAGUGGGGAAUAUUGCACAAUGGGCGAAAGCCUGAUGCAGCGACGCCGCGUGAGGGAUGACGGCCUUCGGGUUGUAAACCUCUUUCAGCAGGGAAGAAGCGAAAGUGACGGUACCUGCAGAAGAAGCGCCGGCUAACUACGUGCCAGCAGCCGCGGUAAUACGUAGGGCGCAAGCGUUGUCCGGAAUUAUUGGGCGUAAAGAGCUCGUAGGCGGCUUGUCACGUCGGAUGUGAAAGCCCGGGGCUUAACCGCGGGUCUGCGAUCCGGAUUACGGGCUAGCUAGAGUGUGGUAGGGAGAUCGGAAUUCCUGGUGUAGCGGUGAAAUGCGCAGAUAUCAGGAGGAACUCCGGUGGCGAAGACGGAUCUCUGGUCCAUUACUGACGCUGAGGAGCGAAACCGUGGGGAGCGAACAGGAUUAGAUACCCUGGUAGUCCACGCCGUAAACGUUGAGAAACUAGGUGUUGACGACAUUCCACGUCGUCGGUGCCGCAGAUAACGCAUUAAGUUCCCCGCCUGGGGAGUACGCCACAAGCCUAAAACUCAAAGGAAUUGCCGGGGGCCCGCACAAGCAGCGGAGCAUGUGGCUUAAUUCGACGCAACGCGAAGAACCUUACCAAGGCUUGACAUAUACCGGAAAGCAUCAGAGAUGGUGCCCCCCUUGUGGUCGGUAUACAGGUGGUGCAUGGCUGUCGUCAGCUCGUGUCGUGAGAUGUUGGGUUAAGUCCCGCAACGAGCGCAACCCUUGUUCUGUGUUGCCAGCAUGCCCUUCGGGGUGAUGGGGACUCACAGGAGACUGCCGGGGUCAACUCGGAGGAAGGUGGGGACGACGUCAAGUCAUCAUGCCCCUUAUGUCUUGGGCUGCACACGUGCUACAAUGGCCGGUACAAUGAGCUGCGAUGCCGCGAGGCGGAGCGAAUCUCAAAAAGCCGGUCUCAGUUCGGAUUGGGGUCUGCAACUCGACCCCAUGAAGUCGGAGUUGCUAGUAAUCGCAGAUCAGCAUUGCUGCGGUGAAUACGUUCCCGGGCCUUGUACACACCGCCCGUCCCGUCACCAAAGUCGGUAACACCCGAACCCGGUGCCCCAACCCCUUGUGGGAGGGAAGCUUCGAAGGGGGAUCCGGGGA